AGCGGCUUUCGGAGUAAAAUGUAAACUUUUAUUGGCGGGGGUGGGUGGCGAGUGAAAGAUGAUUAUGUAACCACAGCGAUAGCCAUACGGUUGGCACCCCUACACACACACACCUGUUAACUAUUUUGGCCUCUUUUUGAAGAUACAGUAGGUUAUACAUUAUUUAAAAUAAAAAAAGAAAAUGAAUAAGAAGCCAAAAAUGUAUCACAUUAUCCACCUUCCCGAGAUGACUCACAUUGGAUGGGAAUAUGGCACACAGUUUCUUCUCCAUUACCAAAAGAAUGGUUCAUAUACAAGAGCAUUUAGGACAAUGGGAAAAUUGUCUUGUGUUUUUCCACUGAGCACUCUUAUUUGGGAAAUGACAGAUACACUUCCAUUACUCUUGAAAGAUUCUACAACUUUAACAACAACUGUGUAUGCUCAUUGUAUUUUGACUCAAGGACUUUAUAAAGCAAUUACACUGAUACAUUUCAAUUUAAAGUGCAGUAAUUUCUCAGGUGGGAUAUAAGUGUAAUAAUAAAUAAAUUUUGAUCAAAAAUAAAUGAAAGGAAAAUGAA